rnacentral:rRNA from 1 species
UACGAAGGGUGCAAGCGUUAAUCGGAAUUACUGGGCGUAAAGCGUGCGUAGGUGGUGAGUUAAGUCUGUCGUGAAAGCCCCGGGCUCAACCUGGGAAUGGCGAUGGAUACUGGCUCGCUAGAGUGCGGUAGAGGAGAGUGGAAUUCCCGGUGUAGCAGUGAAAUGCGUAGAGAUCGGGAGGAACAUCAGUUGCGAAGGCGGCUCUCUGGACCAGCACUGACACUGAGGCACGAAAGCGGUGGGGAGCAAACAGG